CUCAGGAACAACAACAGGCAGCUUAGAAACAUAUUUCUUCAAAACAAGUACACUUUCCGAGAUGCAUUCAGAGUAAUUCCAUUUUAUUGUAUUUGAUGUUCUUAAAAGUCGGAUUUUGCAUUUAGACAGUUAUUUGGACAUAGUGGGAUUAAAAUGUCACAUCAAAAUAUGUUAUUUCAAGUCAAAUUAUAGUAUUAUUUGUUCUCAAUGGCAAAUACAAUCCCAAAGCAUUCUUAACACUCAGUAGAGGCAUAUACAGAGAACCAUGCAGUUAUUGGUAAUAAAAACCUAGUGUAGAUAUCUAAUGAAAUAUGAAAAUGAAGUUGUGACCUGAUUAUGAGCUACUAGAACAUUAUUUUCUAUCUUAUGUUAGAAAUCAGACAAGCUUUGUGUGUAUUAACUGCUGGUUGACUUCUAAAAUGUAUAUGCACUGAUAUAGAACUGUGUUGGCUUCAUCUGAAACUGUGGCUUCCAUGGGUUUAAAAAAUACGUAUAUUAUUUUAUUUGCAAAAUGACAACCACAAAUUUUGAUAUGUUCAGUUGUUUAAACCAGUGAUUUCCAGAAAGUCAAUGGUGUCCUACUUAUGUAAGCUUUAAAACAGGCAAUUUUGAAAUAGGUAAAUUACUCAGUAUAAACCUUAGGAGACUCAAAUUGCUGAUGGAUCUUCUUCAAAACACCUCUCAUUUUACAGGAGUAUGAUACCUGGACAUAUCUCAGAUUUAUAUCACUUAUGUUUCCUACAAAAUUGCCCGUGAAACAAAAAAUAGCCCAUGUGAAUGUUAUUAAAACUUUGUUCUACAGAAGUUAAUUGAUGCCUUGUGAGGCAAUAUUAACAUUUAUAGGGUUGGGGCGUCCCACAAGGACAAAAGUCUGACUCCUCCUCACAAAUGUAUUCUACUUGUCAAAGUCACCCCCAAAAUCUUCUUAGGAGUAGUUGGAAUUGGCUGUCAGAACCAGAUGCUCUCAAGUGUCUCACCUCUGUGGUUCUCCUACCCGGGUUUCCCAGUCCUUGGUUGACCAUUAAUGUUCUCACAGGGAUAAACUAUUUAAUGUAAUUCUUGUGAUCUCUUCCAGUAGAGGCUGAGGCCAUUUCUAAAAACUCUUUCCCCAUGAUCCUUUCUACACUAUCUUCUCUCUCUCUCU
rnacentral:lncRNA from 1 species